ACACGCUUUAUUGCAUCAAUAUCACAACCCGAAGAUUAAUACAUCACCGAAUAUCUUCAAUUCUUCACAGAUGAUGGUUGAUCCAACGGCACCUAGGCGACCGCUUAGCAGAUCACAAGAAUGAACCUUACCAGGGCAAAUGGAAGCUAGGUCAUGCGGUUGGUGCCUCAACAGAUCAUGUAUCACCUUUCCACCCGAACGAAGCUCAGUGUACCCGAUUAACUUUCCUACCAAAGCCAUUUCUUUCGAUUAAUGAGAAGUAAGUCGAUCACUUGUUUAUUUGAAAGAGUUGGGUGGAAAAUGUACCAACGCCAUAACCCUCUUUUUAUAUAUAGUGGUGAUGCUAUACAUGUAACUUAACUGUUUUUAAUUAGUCAUGCAAAUUUUAUAUAAUUCACAGAAAGAUAAAUUAAA